GCGGCAGGCCUAACACAUGCAAGUCGAGCGGUAGAGAGAAGCUUGCUUCUCUUGAGAGCGGCGGACGGGUGAGUAAUGCCUAGGAAUCUGCCUGGUAGUGGGGGAUAACGUUCGGAAACGAACGCUAAUACCGCAUACGUCCUACGGGAGAAAGCAGGGGACCUUCGGGCCUUGCGCUAUCAGAUGAGCCUAGGUCGGAUUAGCUAGUUGGUGAGGUAAUGGCUCACCAAGGCGACGAUCCGUAACUGGUCUGAGAGGAUGAUCAGUCACACUGGAACUGAGACACGGUCCAGACUCCUACGGGAGGCAGCAGUGGGGAAUAUUGGACAAUGGGCGAAAGCCUGAUCCAGCCAUGCCGCGUGUGUGAAGAAGGUCUUCGGAUUGUAAAGCACUUUAAGUUGGGAGGAAGGGCAGUUACCUAAUACGUGAUUGUUUUGACGUUACCGACAGAAUAAGCACCGGCUAACUCUGUGCCAGCAGCCGCGGUAAUACAGAGGGUGCAAGCGUUAAUCGGAAUUACUGG
rnacentral:rRNA from 1 species